CGCUAGCGCUGUUUCUAUCAUCUAGCCUGUGACUGUGAGGAAAACAUUUUGAACCAGAGGGGCAGAGAGCCUAGCCUACAACUAAGUACAAGCAAAACUACUAUUAGUUACCGGUGCAUGUAGUUAGUUGUUGCUGGGUAUGUUCACAAUUUCCCCAGAAUUUUGUAUUCUUGUAGGAUACUUGCUUUUUCAGAACCCGGGGAGACAAUGCGGUGCGACUAGCUGGCUGCUAGGCGGUAGAGUUCUUUCAUUCAGUCAUGUCCUUACGAGAAAUGUGAAGAACAUUUCCAAGUUUGAAAACUCGAAGACGUGAAUUCAAAGGCGAAAUGAACGCGAUAGCCUCGUAGUCUUUGCAGCACCGAAAGUACUAGGGACCUGGUUUGCAUCAGCCCCCGGCCCCUUGCUUUCAACACGACAGUAGCAUUGAUACUCGCCAUCGCAACCAUGAGACUCCAGAAUGGAGUGUGAUGGUCCGCAGCUGAAACCCAAUGUUACCAGCGAUGUUGCCAGUGAUGUCGCCAGUGAUGUCGUCGAGACCCUAGCUCUACGUCACCUAGUAACCAGAGUCUGAUAUUCAACGCGCCACUUUGCCCUGCUUUGGACUCGAUCAGCGCAUGCAUCUUUGCAGGAGAUUCCAUCUGGUGAUGCACCCAACAGCCAUUCACUGCUAUUCCGGAUCCGAACUGAUGCGUGACCGCUAUUCCUCCUGUGCGCGCAUAACCCAUUAAACAUCCUCUACCCAUGCAGUCGAAACAUAUGGAGUAGAACCACUCGGCUGUGCGCGCUUACCUGAUCAGUGAUGUCAUAAGUCUAUUGGACGCCCAUGCAUGUAUGAUCGAUGACGUCAUCAGUCUAUUUGACAUACGUGCAUGCAUGAUUAAUGACGUCAUCAGUCUACUUGGCCCUGAAGGCAUGUCUGAUUGGCGACAUCAUCCUGUUAGCACACUUCAAGAUGAAAUUGUCUCUAUGGAACUAUGAUAUGAGCCAAGCCAAGCCAAGCCAAGCCACUGAUACAAGCUCCAAUCUGACCACUGUGGUACAGCUAUGGCUGCUGGCAAGGUUGGUGUGCCUCAACAGCAAGAACAGCACCGUCGUGGACUGGUCUCACCUGGGAUAGGACGUACAGAAUCCUCAUCCUCAUCGUCAUCCUGAAGAAUUGCCCUGCGUUGUUACCAGGACCCAUGCUGAUGUCGAGAGACUUUACUGGAUCUGACAAUCAGUGCGGGCCAGGAUGGGAUAAGUGCUUGUAUAAUUGCAGCUAUGUACUGUCGUGGACAUGGAAAUCCAGUCGAAUGACCAGGGUCCGCGCCCUCGGUGCGUACAGAACGCCGGAAGCAGUGCUGAUGUUGAUCCGAUCCGACCAGCGCGCUGCAGCGCAUAAAUGAAUGUGUGUAGAUCAACCGUAUGCUUACUCACGGCUGCAUGCCCAGCGCCCUGGGGCCGCCAUUGUGUGCUCUGCUAUUCUAUGCUCUGCCAUUCUACGCUCUGCCAUUCAACGCUCUGCCUUCAAUGCUCUGCCAUUCAAUGCUCUCCCAUUCAAUGCUCUGCCGUUCGAUGCUCUGCCGUUCUAUGCUCUGCCAUUCGAUGCUCUGCCAUUCGAUGCUCUGCCAUUCGAUGCUCUGCCAUUCGAUGCUCUGCCAUUCGAUGCUCUGCCAUGCGAUGCUCUGCCAUUCGAUGCUCUGCCAUUCGAUGCUAUGCCAUUCGAUGCUCUGCCAUUCAAUGCUCUGCCUCUGCCAUUCAAUGCUCUGCCGUUCUAUGCUCUGCCGUUCUAUGCUCUGCCAUUCUAUGCUCUGCCAUUCUAUGCUUUGCCACUCUAUGCUCUGCCAUUCUAUGCUCUGCCAUUCAAUGCUCUGCCUCUGCCAUUCAAUGCUCUGCCAUUCACUGCUCUGCCGUUCUAUGCUCUGCCUUUCCAUGCUCUGCCUUUCUAUGCUCUGCCAUUCUAUGCUGUGCCAUUCUAUGCUGUGCCAUUCCUUGCUGUGCCAUUCGGUGCUCUGCCAUUCGAUGGUCUGCCAUUCGGUGCUCUGCCAUUCUACAUGAUAUUCUGACACCGGGUGUACAUUCAAUACUAUCUCCAAGUGGUACUUGGACUUAUUUCGAAGUGGUGUCGAUGCUCCGUUAUUGUAGAGCUUGGUGUCUUUGAGGCAUCAACACUGA